GCUCAGGUCUCAGUAGAAGAAGAAUGAAAUUAACAUGAACUUAAAAGUUUCAUGUUUUUCAAACUCAAACCGGGAUAAUCAAAAUUAUUCUGGUUUGAGUUUCAAAAACAUGAAACUUUUAAUCUGAUUCAGUUAUUAAACAUAAACAAGCACACGUCAGUGAACCAGCUUGGUGUCUUUGGAGUAUUUAUCUUUAUCCUUAUUAAAAACAGAGCCGAUUAUAAUUAUAACCAAUGACACAUUAAUACACAGAAAAAAACUGAAAAAGUACAGACAGAUCACUUCUACAGACUGAACUUCCUGUUUUUUUCCUCUGUCGACUCACAAGACGACUUUUUAGAGAGGAAAGAGAAGUUAGAGAAGUUAGCUGAGGGUGGUUCCUGUGUGUCCUCUGUUCUGUCUCUGUAAAUGGACUCAUGUAAGUUAUGAUAUAUGAUGAUUUUGGUGGAGCUGAGAACGUGUUUAAUGCGCACAUUAAAUCUGUUUUUGUGAUCCAAGAAGAGACACAUGAGGCUGAUUGGGAAUUAACAUGUUUAAAAGCCCAAAAUCAAUCUAUCAAUACCAGAAUGAGACUAUUACAGUACAGAUGGUUCAUGAGAACUUACAUGACUCCGGUCAAACUGACCCGAUGGACACCUGUGUUAAAUGUCUUAAAGAACAGGACCCCCCCUCUUUCAUUGUGUUUGGGAAUGUCUAUAACUACAUGAAUACUGGAAAACUGUGGUUAAGAUUGGAUCUGAAGUUGUGGGGAUUAAAGUGCCCCUCCAAGCAAAAUUGUGUCUACUGGGAACAUAUCCAAAUGACUUUAUUGUUACUCAAAGCAGAUGACUUUAAUCGACCUGGACUCCUGCAGGUCAGGAGAGUAACCGCCUUAUCCUGGAAGAAAAUGGAUGAACCUUCGAUAAAUGUUUGAGUGGAAGAGACGACUUCAUGAGUCGGACUAGAGAGAUGAACAUCUAUCAUCAGAGGGAAAACAGGUGGAUCUGAGAAGGUUUGGAGACCCCUGUUGGACAGUCUUGGACGUUGGGGCGCUGACACUAAUGUACAGAGUUUAUGUAUAUUUUAUUUUAUUCAUUUCUGUUUUCUCUCGUGUCACCCUGUCCUUUUUUUAAUCUUUUACUUUCUAUUUACUUGUUUUGGA